CAGUCGCCGCGGGAACACGAAGGGGGCUAGCGUUGUUCGGAAUUACUGGGCGUAAAGCGCACGUAGGCGGAUAUUUAAGUCAGGGGUGAAAUCCCGCAGCUCAACUGCGGAACUGCCUUUGAUACUGGGUAUCUUGAGUAUGGAAGAGGUUAGUGGAAUUGCGAGUGUAGAGGUGAAAUUCGUAGAUAUUCGCAGGAACACCAGUGGCGAAGGCGGCUAACUGGUCCAUAACUGACGCUGAGGUGCGAAAGCGUGGGGAGCAAACAGGAUUAGAUCCCGCGUAGUCCCUGUCUCUUAUACA
rnacentral:rRNA from 1 species